rnacentral:misc_RNA from 1 species
GAUGAAGAACGCAGCGAAAUGCGAUACGUAAUGUGAAUUGCAGAAUUCAGUGAAUCAUCGAGUCUUUGAACGCACAUUGCGCCCCCUGGUAUUCCGGGGGGCAUGCCUGUCCGAGCGUCAUUGCUGCCCUCAAGCACGGCUUGUGUGUUGGGCCUCCGCCCCCGGCUCCCGGGGGGCGGGCCCGAAAGGCAGCGGCGGCACCGCGUCCGGUCCUCGAGCGUAUGGGGCUUCGUCACCCGCUCCGUAGGCCCGGCCGGCGCCCGCCGGCGACCCCCCUCAAUCUUUCCAGGUUGACCUCGGAUCAGGUAGGGAUACCCGCUGAACUUAAGCAUAUCAAUAAGCGGAGGA